GCCAAGUAGUAAGUGAUUCCACAGCAGGCACUGGGGGCCAGAUCUGAGUGGGACUUAUCAAGAGUACUAAAUGAGGGUCAACAAUAAACCUGACCGUUGGAUUUGAUCAGUUCUCAUUCAGUUUGGCUUGCCACCAGAAUUGUAGAAGGAAUCAAGUUCGUAAACUGAGACACUACUUUACAAAGAAAAGUGAAGAAGAAAAUACCAGCCUUAUUUGAGUUUCCAUAAAUGCUGCUUUCUUUAUGAAGCUCCUGCUCUGCACAGCAUAACGUAGGCCCA
rnacentral:lncRNA from 1 species